rnacentral:rRNA from 1 species
UACGAAGGGUGCAAGCGUUACUCGGAAUUACUGGGCGUAAAGAGCGUGUAGGCGGCCAUACAGGUCAGCUGUGAAAACUCGAGGCUCAACCUCGAGAUGUCGGUUGAAACCGUAUGGCUAGAGUCCGGAAGAGGAGAGUGGAAUUCCCGGUGUAGCGGUGAAAUGCGCAGAUAUCGGGAAGAACACCCGUGGCGAAGGCGGCUCUCUGGGACGGUACUGACGCUGAGACGCGAAAGCGUGGGGAGCGAACAGG